GAGUUUAUAGCUCAAAAGGUUAGAGCAUAUUCUUUAUAAGGAUAGGGUUGAGAGUUCGAUCCUCUCUAAACUCA
rnacentral:tRNA from 1 species